rnacentral:misc_RNA from 1 species
GGGAGCUUCAGUAGCUAAGGCUUUCCACACUGUGGACUUAUUUAUUAAAAAAAUUAAAAUAAAUAAUAUUUGAAUGUGUUUAUUAGCAUUGAUAAUUGAACACCAUCCUGCUCUGGUUUUGAUGCUAUCACUCUCUUUUCUAGUAACACAAUAUCCUCAGUUACUGUGUUAGUAUCUUCAAGAAAGAUGACCCAAGAAUGCCUUCAUUGUGGCUAGGAUUUGUGCUGGUUGUAGUAUGGAGAUUGGUCAGGGAAGAUUUCUAAAUUGCCUCAAUGCAUUUUGGCAUCCG